UUGCACUGUACGGUUCGAGGCGA
rnacentral:miRNA from 2 species